GAUGAACGCUGGCGGCGUGCCUAAUACAUGCAAGUCAAGCGAACAGACGAGGAGCUUGCUCCUCUGACGUUAGCGGCGGACGGGUGAGUAACACGUGGAUAACCUACCUAUAAGACUGGGAUAACUUCGGGAAACCGGAGCUAAUACCGGAUAAUAUAUUGAACCGCAUGGUUCAAUAGUGAAAGACGGUUUUGCUGUCACCUAUAGAUGGAUCCGCGCCGCAUUAGCUAGUUGGUAAGGUAACGGCUUACCAAGGCAACGAUGCGUAGCCGACCUGAGAGGGUGAUCGGCCACACUGGAACUGAGACACGGUCCAGACUCCUACGGGAGGCAGCAGUAGGGAAUCUUCCGCAAUGGGCGAAAGCCUGACGGAGCAACGCCGCGUGAGUGAUGAAGGUCUUCGGAUCGUAAAACUCUGUUAUUAGGGAAGAACAAAUGUGUAAGUAACUAUGCACGUCUUGACGGUACCUAAUCAGAAAGCCACGGCUAACUACGUG
rnacentral:rRNA from 1 species